UCCAUAAUUCGUCUUGCAUGUGUUCAAGGCUGCUUGUGAUAUUUGACUUUUUCAAAAGAGAAACAGACUAUCAUAUCAACAAAUAACUCGUAGGUUACAGUGUGGCAAGUUACAUGUGCGACUUAAAAUGGUUAAGUGGGCCACCCGUAGAAUUUUGGAAAUAUUUCAUUUUUUGGUUGGGACUGGGAUUUUGCUGUUGGUGCAAUAAUGUCAACUCCAGAUUUUCAAAAGACUCGUUAUAGUUAAAGUGAUAAGGCAAAACUAAUGUCAUGGAUUGUGAUGCCCUCGUGCUGCCAUUCACAUUCGGUCGAUGCGUUAGGCUUCUUUGGAGCUCUGCCAUGGAAAUAUUCAGCAAUAACUUUGGGAUUGUGUCAUAGGAGUUGGAUUGUGUUGGCAAAAAAAAAAAAAUUCUGUAUUUUUGUUUUGUUUUAUUAUUUAGGAUGGAGAGGUUGUUUCAUUGUUGCUUGGUUUAUAACAUUUUGCAUAAGCUCGUUCGACGAGCAAAAGAAUGGUAAUUUUCUGUAUGUUCAUUAUUUUCAUACAUCUCUUUUGGCUCC